rnacentral:rRNA from 1 species
UACGUAGGGACCGAGCGUUGUCCGGAAUCAUUGGGCGUAAAGAGCGUGUAGGCGGCUUGCUAAGUCUUGCGUGAAAUCUCGGGGCGUCAACCCCGAGCGGUCGUGGGAAAGCUGGCAGGCUAGAGUGCGGGAGAGGAGAAUGGAAUUCCUGGUGUAGCGGUGAAAUGCGCAGAUAUCAGGAAGAACACCCGUGGCGAAGGCGGUUCUCUGGAACGCAACUGACGCUGAGACGCGAAAGCGUGGGGAGCAAACAGG